GGUUAAGGAUUGGAGCUCCUUGAAGUCCAAAAGAAGGUUAUGCUGGGUGGAUAGAGCUGUUGAGCUAUGGAUCCCACAGUACUAUUUAUCCUAUGUUAGAUCAGAUCGGAUCGACCGAAGGGAUGAUAGGGUUGUGGCUUGCAUAUCUCAGGAGCUGCAUUACCUGUACGCUGCCUCUUUUUUUGGAUUGAAGGGAGCUCUACACCUCUCG
rnacentral:pre_miRNA from 1 species